UUGGGACCAGGAAUAUAUAUAGGCGCCAAGGGAUGUGCCGCCGCUUGCUGUCUGCUAUUGAGACGGUCCUCUCCACACUAAAAGUUCAGAAGUUGAUUAUUCCUGCUAUAUCUGAGCAUAUGCAUACUUGGACCGUAGUUUUUGGAUUUAAUUCACUUGAGGAUUCAUCAAGGCUAGAGAUGAAGUCCAUCAAUAUGUUGGUGUUUCCUGGGACAGAUAUGCUACAAAAGAGGUUACAAAAUGGAGAGACCCUAGAGGCUGGUACAAAUGCUGGUGAUUCGAAACAUAGUGUUCCUUGGUUGCCUGCUUUGAUUGAAAAAGUUGAUAAGGACUCCGACUCCCCUACUAAGUGCGAUGGGAA
rnacentral:misc_RNA from 1 species